CCUACGGGUGGCAGCAGUGAGGAAUAUUGGUCAAUGGACGAGAGUCUGAACCAGCCAAGUAGCGUGAAGGAUGACUGCCCUAUGGUUUGUAAACUUCUUUUAUAUGGGAAUAAAAUGUUCCACGUGUGGGAUUUUGUAUGUACCAUAUGAAUAAGGAUCGGCUAACUCCGUGCCAGCAGCCGCGGUAAUACGGAGGAUCCGAGCGUUAUCCGGAUUUAUUGGGUUUAAAGGGAGCGUAGGUGGAUUGUUAAGUCAGUUGUGAAAGUUUGCGGCUCAACCGUAAAAUUGCAGUUGAAACUGGCAGUCUUGAGUACAGUAGAGGUGAGCGGAAUUCGUGGUGUAGCGGUGAAAUGCUUAGAUAUCACGAAGAACUCCGAUUGCGAAGGCAGUUCACUGGACUGCAACUGACACUGAGGCUCGAAAGUGUGGGUAUCAAACAGGAUUAGAUACCCCUGUAGUC
rnacentral:rRNA from 1 species